rnacentral:rRNA from 1 species
GACGUAGGAGGCGAGCGUUGUCCGGAUUCAUUGGGCGUAAAGAGCACGCAGGCGGUUUGGCAAGUCGGACGUGAAAAUCCGGGGCUCAACCCCGGACCUGCAUCCGAAACUGCCCGACUAGAGGUAGGUAGGGGAGAUCGGAAUUCCUGGUGUAGCGGUGAAAUGCGCAGAUAUCAGGAGGAACACCGGUGGCGAAGGCGGAUCUCUGGGCCUUACCUGACGCUGAGGAGCGAAAGCAUGGGGAGCGAACAGG